CCUACGGGUGGCAGCAGUGAGGAAUAUUGGUCAAUGGACGAGAGUCUGAACCAGCCAAGUAGCGUGAGGGAAGACUGCCCUAUGGGUUGUAAACCUCUUUUAUGCGGGGAUAAAGGUGUCCACGUGUGGAUGUUUGCAGGUACCGCAUGAAUAAGGACCGGCUAAUUCCGUGUCAGCAGCCGCGGUAAUCCGGAAGGUCCGGGCGUUAUCCGGAUUUAUUGGGUUUAAAGGGAGCGUAGGCCGGUCUUUAAGCGUGCCGUGAAAUUUUGUGGCUCAACCAUGGGAGUGCGGCGCGAACUGGAGACCUGGAGUGCGCGGAAGGCAGGCGGAAUUCGUGGUGUAGCGGUGAAAUGCUUAGAUAUCACGAAGAACCCCGAUUGCGAAGGCAGCCUGCCGCAGCGUUACUGACGCUGAAGCUCGAAAGCGCGGGUAUCGAACAGGAUUAGAUACCCCUGUAGUC
rnacentral:rRNA from 1 species